rnacentral:rRNA from 1 species
UACGAGGGGGGCAAGCGUUAUUCAUCAUGACUGGGCGUAAAGGGUGUGUAGGCGGUCUAUUUAUGUUGAAAAGACAAAGGUCAAAAUAAAACUUUGAAAAAGCUUUUUAAAACUAAUAGACUAGAGUACUAGCGGGGAUAGUAGAAUUUCUAGGGUAGUUGUGAAAAACGUGAAACCUAGAGGGAACACCGAUGGCGAAGGCAACUAUCUGGAUAGUAUCUGACGCUGAAACACGAAAGUAUGGGGAGCAAACAGGAUUAGGUACCCUGGUAGUCCAUAGCUGUCAACUAUGAGUGUUAAAUGUUGGAAAAAAUUCCAGCGUUACAGUUAACACAUUAAACACUCCGCCUGGGGAGUACGAUCGCAAGGUUAAAACUCAAAGGAAUUGACGGGAAUCUGCAACAAGCGGUGGAGCAUGUGGUUUAAUUCGAUAAUCCGCGAAAAACCUUACCAACUUUUGACAUAAAGAGUGUAUCCAUCUAGAAAUAGGUAGGACUUAAAAAAAAAUAUAUGAUCUUAAAAAUUUUCAUUCUUUUUUUUUAACUCUUUACAGGCGCUGCAUGGCUGUCGUCAGCUCGUGUCGUGAGAUAUACGGUUAAUUCCAGUAUAACGAGCGCAACCCUCAUUUAGUUAGUUCCUAAAGGAAUCUUAAAAAAAAAAUAAGAAACAAGGACUCAACAAAAUUUUAUCCGAAGCUUUUCCGGUGCAUUAAGAGGAUGACGUCAAGUCCUCAUGGCCCCUAUAGGUUGGGCUACACACGUGCUACAAUGGUGAUUACAAAGGGAGGCAAUUAUGUGAAUAGGAGCAAAACCCCAAACAUCACCUCAGUACAGAUUGUUCUCUGCAACUCGAGAAUAUGAAGUUGGAAUCGCUAGUAAUCGGGGAUCAGCACGCCCCGGUGAAUAUGUAAUCAGAUUU